rnacentral:rRNA from 1 species
CCUACGGGUGGCAGCAGUGAGGAAUAUUGGUCAAUGGGCUUACGCCUGAACCAGCCAAGUCGCGUGAGGGAAGACUGCCCUAUGGGUUGUAAACCUCUUUUGUCAGGGAGCAACGCCGGCUACGCGUAGCCGGACUGAGAGUACCUGAAGAAAAAGCAUCGGCAAACUCCGUGCCAGCAGCCGCGGUAAUACGGAGGAUGCGGGGGUUAUCCGGAUUUAUUGGGUCAAAGGGGUGCGUAGGCGGAAUGCCAAGUCAGCGGUAAAAUCGCGGGGCCCAACCUCGCUCCGCCGUUGAAACUGGCGUUCUUGAGGGGGCGAGCGGUAGGCGGAAUGCGUGGUGUAGCGGUGAAAUGCAUAGAUAUCACGCAGAACUCCGAUUGCGAAGGCAGCAUACCGGCGCCCAACUGACGCUGAAGCACGAAAGCGUGGGUAUCGAACAGGAUUAGAUACCCCUGUAGUC